GCGCACGGGUGCGUAACGCGUAUGCAACCUACCUUCAAUUGGGGGAUAACUCUGGGAAACUGGAAUUAAUACCGCAUAAGAUAGUAAUGCUUCAUGGCAUAGCUAUUAAAGAUUUAUCGAUUGAAGAUGGGCAUGCGUGACAUUAGUUAGUUGGKGGGGUAACGGCUCACCAAGACUUCGAUGUCUAGGGGUUCUGAGAGGAUGAYCCCCCACACUGGUACUGAGAUACGGACCAGACUCCUACGGGAGGCAGCAGUAGGGAAUAUUGGUCAAUGGACGCAAGUCUGAACCAGCCAUGCCGCGUGCAGGACGAAGGCCCUCUGGGUUGUAAACUGCUUUUGUAUAGGAAGAAACGCUCCGACGUGUCGGAGUUUGACGGUACUAUAAGAAUAAGGAUCGGCUAACUACGUGCCAGCAGCCGCGGUAAUACGUAGGAUCCAAGCGUUGUCCGGAUUUAUUGGGUUUAAAG
rnacentral:rRNA from 1 species